UACGUAGGGUGCGAGCGUUGUCCGGAAUUAUUGGGCGUAAAGGGCUCGUAGGCGGUUUGUCGCGUCGGGAGUGAAAACCCAGGGCUUAACCCUGGGCCUGCUUCCGAUACGGGCAGACUAGAGGUAUGCAGGGGAGAACGGAAUUCCUGGUGUAGCGGUGAAAUGCGCAGAUAUCAGGAGGAACACCGGUGGCGAAGGCGGGUCUCUGGGCCGAUACUGACGCUGAGGAGCGAAAGCGUGGGGAGCAAACAGG
rnacentral:rRNA from 1 species